AACCGAUGGCCACGAUAAAGCCCUGAGCUCAGGGCCACCUGCAAAAAUCCAUGUUCCUGACCACCCUCCUGCCCAUCUCACCCCAACACCCCGCCGCCUCCCGAUCCCUAAACCCUUCGCCAUCACCUGUUGCCAAUGGAGAACUUGGCAGGCAGCAGCCUAUAUGGUGAUUUGUCAAUACAAGUGCAUCAGAGAGGACGAACUGCUGCGGGAGAAGCCCGACACGGUCUGUUACGACAGAUUCGGGCCCUCCGAUAUCAUGCACACCGCCCAGAAAUGAGGACCUGACUGCGCUGCCCCGCUGUGUGAUUUCCAUGCAUAAAAAAUGCUUGAGAGCAACUGUGGUUCACUCUGCGCCAGGCUCAGGAAGAUCCCGAGGUUGCCUUACAUAGUUACAUGAUUGGGAAAUUGCAUCUACUUGUGGAACACAAGCAGAGACAAGAUGAGCGCAACCAUGGUUGUUCUUGCUGGACGAGAUAGUUGAGCUGGCAAAAGUAGCUCCAGGUUAGAUUGCUGCAACCUUAAAUUGCCAGCACUUAGCUGUACUUUGCAUCAUCCUGCUUGCUCUUUUUUUUAUUUCAUCUGAAUUGUAUUUAGGGUGAGACCAAUAUAAAGCCACUGUGGGGGUACUGCACAGCUUUUUUUCAUCCAUGUUACAUGCAUGGAGCUGCUACUAGGUUGGUAUUUUGGUUUUGUUGUGUUAAACUAAGUUUUUCAAUCGGCAUAUUACUUGAGAUUUGUUGUGUUAAACGAAGUUAUGCAAUUGGCACAUUACUUGAUAUUAAGGGAACUCUUCAAUAAUGUUGCAGUCCAGAGGUUAAAGUGUAUUCUUAUGCUGCGGCACAAGUUAAGAAAGUUUUGAAGGUGGGUUAUCUCUGAACAUCAUUGUUGGUCUUCCAUCUUAGGCCAAUUCUUGAUUCGACUUUAUACAAAUCACCCACUACCUAGGUGGUGAAAACUACAUAUUUUGGGGUGGAAGAGAGGGUUACCAAACUCUACUUAAUAUUGAUAUGAAGAUAGAACUUAACCAUCUGGUAUGAGGACAUAUUUUGCUGAUUCCUUUUGUGUUUCUGCUUUACUGUGUGGCACAAAUUGUUUGCUCAUUUAUUGGGUUUGUCGUGGCUAACUUUCUUCAAGCUGUUGUUGACUACAAGAAUGUCGGAUUUAAUGGUAAUUCAAUCCUGUCUCUUUAUGAAUUACAUGUGCCAACUGCCCUAACUUUGACAUAGUACAUUUUUUCACUAUUAAAAUUAGUGAUAGAACUGAGAUUUUGUUAUUUCAGGGACAUUGUUGAUAGAGCCUAAACCACAAGAACCUACAAAACACCACUAUGUUUAUUACUCAGCGAUGGAUUAGCAAAUAUCUAAAGGAUUCAGAAGCACUAAUCGUUGAUUUCCUCUGGCAGGUAUGACUGAUGUUGCAAGUACAUUCUCUUUUAUACAGAUUCCAAGGUUGUCAGUAUUGCUCAAAGGACCGAUGGAUACUAUCAAGCAAACAUAUACAUUUUCUUCUUCUUUACAUGAGCGUCAUACAAAUUUGAGGUCAUACGGUGUUGUAAAUUAUGGAGCAAAAAAUGUAUUCAUGUGUAUUCAUGUGUGUACAUAUGAGGCUAUUUUUCUAUCAUCAUCUUGCCCUACAAUUAUUAUUUAUUU